rnacentral:rRNA from 1 species
AUUGAACGCUGGCGGCAUGCUUUACACAUGCAAGUCGAGCGGUAACAGGCCUUCUGGUGCUGACGAGUGGCGAACGGGUGAGUAAUGCAUCGGAACGUACCCAGAGGUGGGGGAUAACGCAGCGAAAGCUGUGCUAAUACCGCAUGUGAUCUGAGGAUGAAAGCGGGGGACCGAGCAGCAAUGUUUGGCCUCGCGCCUUUGGAGCGGCCGAUGUCGGAUUAGCUAGUUGGUGGGGUAAAGGCCUACCAAGUCGACGAUCCGUAGCUGGUCGGAGAGGACGACCAGCGACACGGGGAGUGGAACACGGCCCAGACUCCUACGGGAGGCAGCAGUGGGGAAUUGUGGACAAUGGGCGCAAGCCUGAUCCAGCAAUGCCGCGUGCGGGAAGAAGGCCUUCGGGUUGUAAACCGCUUUUGGCAGGAACGAAACGGUGUCCGCUAAUACCGGGCGCUAAUGACGGUACCUGCAGAAUAAGCACCGGCUAACUACGUG